UACGAAGGGUGCAAGCGUUACUCGGAAUUACUGGGCGUAAAGGGUGCGUAGGCGGGUCUUUUAAGUCAGGGGUGAAAUCCUGGAGCUCAACUCCAGAACUGCCUUUGAUACUGAGGAUCUUGAGUUCGGGAGAGGUGAGUGGAACUGCGAGUGUAGAGGUGAAAUUCGUAGAUAUUCGCAAGAACACCAGUGGCGAAGGCGGCUCACUGGACUGGUAUUGACGCUGAGGUGCGAAAGCGUGGGGAGCAAACAGG
rnacentral:rRNA from 1 species